UCAAUCCUGUUGUUUCUCAACAGCCAGCAUGCCUGGGUGGUUGGAAACCAUGAGAGUUCCUGCAGGAAACAGAUGGGAAGGCCCAACAUGAGCAGUGUAGGAGGGGAGCUGAGGUCCUAGGGAUCCCUGGGGUCUCUGGCCACCAGCACUGACAGUAUGAGGCCCCUGACCAGGGCUCCUUGGAAUUCCUGUGUCCAGGCUCAGCCAGCCACCACAAACAUUGCAAUGCUGCCCCUGGUAGCCUAACCAGCUCUGCGGCCUGCCAGACAGAGCAAACUCCAGGGAGUUUACCUUCACACUGACACACCCAGAAGCUCUCUUCAGAACAUGACAGAGGACUCCUGUUAACUCAGCUCUUCUGGAAAACGUGGCUGCUGAUCUGUCCUCCAGACCUGGGCAGACAGAUCUCCCCAGAAGCUGUGAGGCUCUACGUGUCCCCUAGAUCAUCCUGCUGGGUACACUGCAGAAUGUAAACAUAUGCUGAAUACAGGAAUGAAUGGAGGAAUGAAGGAUGUUCUGGUUCCUUAGUAGGCAGCAGGUGCUUGCAUUGUUGUGCCCAGUGCCCGAGCCUCCUGAUUUUCCUUUGGAAAUGGUCCUCUCUUGUUCUAAGCCUAGUGAUGGUGACAACUAGCUGAUGAAGCCAGUCAACAAAGCACCACCUUCAUCACAGGAUUUGGGUUGGGGACAGGCAAGCUACCUCACUUAGAUACAACCUGGCACCUUCUCAUCCUGCACUGGAUUAGAUAUUGCAAGAACAUAAGGCUCAAGCUGCUGGAGCUUUUAAGCAGAUCAAGAGUGGAGCCAAAAGAACCGAGAGGUGAACUCCUUUUGAGGCCCAAACCAUAGUGUUCUUGAGUUCUAGGACUCUAAAAAUUCCUUUUGAUUACUCUGGUUUGAGCUGAGUUUUCUGUUCCUUAUAACUAAAUCAGUCCUUACUGCUCCUAUAUUGCUGGCCUGAAUUUUUAUCAUGAAUGGUCAGUGGAGGUAAGAGAACUGACCCCUGACCUGCAAAACACUAGGUGACUGCACUGAGGCCUGGGUCCUUCUCAAUCCUUCAAGGGGUGGGGGCUCCAAAGAGAGAGAAAACAGCCCAUCUUCUGACUGCUGAGCCCUGAAGUUAUUUGUACACCUACUUACUAUCAUCAUCCCAGACCAAUGAAGGGCAUUAAGGAAGUUCAAAGAGGUCACAAACAAGUCACCUCCACAACAGCCGUACCAUUAAAUACCUACCAUGUAUUAUCAGGCCAACCGAACUCUUCUAGUCAUGAAACAUCCACAAAUACAGACUCCCCUGUUGUGACCACAAACCAUCAGUUCCAUAAUGUGGUACAACUGCUUCAAGAGAUUAAUGAAGGUAAAAGGUCUGAACCAAGAAGGUCCCAUAGUGAGCCAAUGGUCAAGCUGGUACAUGAAGUUACAGAACCAGUUUCUGCCAGCACCACACCAUGCUCCCUCUGACCUUCAUGGACAGAGUCCCAUUAAGCCAGAUUAAUAUAUGGCUUAACACACACCUAUCUUACCAGCUCUGUCUCUAUUUCAGCAACAGUAGGGGCAAGUUUACAACAAGUUGCCUGACUGCUAUAUUACCUAUAAAGGAUAGAGAGGAAUGUAUCAUCAUUGUCAGAGACAGGGCGGAAAAGGAAGAGCUCUGUUCCCCAGGCUUUGGUUUUCCUCCUCAACAAUACACUCAGUCCAGCACAAAUCCAUGGGACCAAAGCACAAUGUAUGAAGGAAGGACACUUCAUCUACUACCUGGCAGGUAAAAGCCUUCGAGAUGGGCGAAUCGAGCUUGUAAGAUUUCCAGAUAACGAGUCCAGCGUCACAGCGGGUUAAGUCCUCUACCUGAGACCCUCAGCUAGAGCAACCGUUACGUCCUCGGCUACAUCAGUGCUCAGCUCAGAGGCAAUCAACUGAGAAUACUAUGGCCCAGAACAAGCAGGGACCUGGGGUCAGGAGUCCUGGAGUUCUGAUCCAGUGCUGACCCCAUCUAUAACUAGGUAACUGAGGCACUUCAUCACCCUGGGCCCCCUUUCCUAACUAUAAAAGAGAUUUAAAAAACCCAAAACACAAAAACUCAACACUUUUUACCAAACUUCAUUGUGAGGAGAAAAUCAGACGUGACAUCUGAAAACAUGAGGUGCACACUGAUAUAUGAGACCCUGAUCACAGAAAAUUCUCUAAGGAUGCUCCAUGGCUCUCGUGACCACUUGGGACAAGGAGGAGAUGGCCUGCUUGCCAGAGCACUGCUUGGGCCCGGGCAUGGUAUGUGAGCAGUCCAGGUAGGACUCCAGACCCAUCUGGCCAUAGCUACAACCACCACAGAUCCCACCUGGCUGUUGAGGACAGUCACAUUUUUGUGUCACGUGGCGUUUCCUUUCAAAAAAGGUUAUUCAUUAACUGUGUAAUGAAAUAUUUGUGGUGCCUUUGUAAAAGCUGUUCAAGUACAUGUACCCACCAAUCCGAAGCUGGCCACCCUCACUCUCACUCCCAGAACCCCUGCAUUGGCCAAUUUCCACCCAACCCUCGGGGCUCUCCCCAGACACACAAUGAGCACCUACCCACUCU